GCUGGGUGUGUUGACAUGCACCUGUAAUCCCAGCUACUCGGGAGGCUGAGGUAGGAGGAUCACUUGGGCCCAGGAGGUCAAGGCUGCAGUGACCCAAGAUUGGGCCACUGCAUUCUAGCCUGGGUGACGGAGCAAGACCCUGUUUCCA
ensembl:misc_RNA Metazoa_SRP Metazoan signal recognition particle RNA